rnacentral:rRNA from 1 species
UACGGGGGGGGCAAGCGUUGUUCGGAAUUACUGGGCGUAAAGGGCUCGUAGGCGGCCAACUAAGUCAGACGUGAAAUCCCUCGGCUUAACCGGGGAACUGCGUCUGAUACUGGAUGGCUUGAGUUUGGGAGAGGAUGCGGAAUUCCAGGUGUAGCGGUGAAAUGCGUAGAUAUCUGGAGGAACACCGGUGGCGAAGGCGGCGAUCCUGGACCAACACUGACGCUGAGUGAGCGAAAGCCAGGGGAGCAAAACGGGG